rnacentral:rRNA from 1 species
GAUGAACGCUAGCUACAGGCUUAACACAUGCAAGUCGAGGGGCAGCAUGACGAUAGCUUGCUAUUGUUGAUGGCGACCGGCGCACGGGUGAGUAACGCGUAUCCAACCUUCCCGUUGCUAGGGGAUAACCUUGCGAAAGUAAGACUAAUACCCUAUGAAGUUCUUCGCAGGCAUCUAAAGAGAACGAAAGAUUUAUCGGCAACGGAUGGGGAUGCGUCUGAUUAGCUUGUUGGCGGGGGUAACGGCCCACCAAGGCAACGAUCAGUAGGGGUUCUGAGAGGAAGGUCCCCCACAUUGGAACUGAGACACGGUCCAAACUCCUACGGGAGGCAGCAGUGAGGAAUAUUGGUCAAUGGACGAGAGUCUGAACCAGCCAAGUAGCGUGCAGGAUGACGGCCCUAUGGGUUGUAAACUGCUUUUAUAAGGGAAUAAAGUGAGCCUCGUGAGGCUUUUUGCAUGUACCUUAUGAAUAGGACCGGCUAAUUCCGUGCCAGCAGCCG